rnacentral:rRNA from 1 species
GACAGAGGGUGCAAACGUUGUUCGGAAUUACUGGGCGUAAAGCGCGCGUAGGCGGGCAUCUAAGUCAGGGGUGAAAUGCCAGGGCUCAACCUUGGAAUUGCCUUUGAUACUGGAUGUCUGGAGUUCGGGAGAGGUGAGUGGAAUUCCGAGUGUAGAGGUGAAAUUCGUAGAUAUUCGGAGGAACACCAGAAGCGAAGGCGGCUCACUGGCCCGAUACUGACGCUGAGGCGCGAAAGCGUGGGGAGCAAACAGG